rnacentral:rRNA from 1 species
AUGAUAGUCUUAAGCUGGAACUACCGGGGCCUAGGGCAACCCCGGACAGUUCAGGAACUCGUGUGCCUAGUGCACACUUUCAAGCCCAUGCUCGUGUUCCUUUCAGAGACGCGGCAAAGCAACUCGUACGUCAAUAAGUUAAGGUGGAGGCUUGGCCUCAAGCAUUGUAUCACGCAGCCUGGGGUUGGAAAAGGUGUGGAUAUUGCGCUUUUCUAUGAUGAGAGUGUUGAAUGGAGAUGUACGUUUGUCUAUGGUGAACCGAGAGCAAGUGAUAGGCAUCACAUGUGGGAAUUGCUAAGGAGAUUAAAGGGUAUCUCAAUUGCUCCUUGGUUGAUGGUGGGGGAUUUUAACGAUGCGAUGUGGCAAUCAGAACAUUUCUCCGCUGCCAAGAGAUCUGAACGACUAAUGGAAAACUUUCGUGAGGUACUGUGA